rnacentral:lncRNA from 7 species
GAGUAGUGAUGGCUUCCUUCCUUUGAAAAGCGAAAGGAGAGCCUCUAGAGAGCAUCAGAUCCUGCGAUGGGACCACUGCAAAAGAAGACAACGAUGGGGGUCUUCCUGCCAGAAAGCAAUGGAGAUGGCAGAGUGCACAGAAAUACCUGCUCCUCGCCGUGCUCUGCUCCUGAUCGGAUGCUUACUUCAUGAAAAUGGUUUCUAUUUCUCAUUCUGAAACAGAAGGGCAUCCUCAUGGCCAGGCACUGGGAGCAAGAGGUGGAUGAGGAGAAGACAAACUACUUUGCCCAAUGUAGCUGAUGAGUUUACACAGUGAAAAAGCCACCUGUUCGUCUUUGACUCAUUCAACAAAGAAGUCACGUCAAAUACUAACUUGAAAAAUUCCUGAACUGGGCUGCGUCAACAGCCAUGGACAACUUCAUGGCACCGCUGAGCACCAUCGGUGACCUCACAUUUCAGCACAGCAAAGCAAAGUUCCUGCACAGCAGAGUGAGCGGACCCUCCCGGCGCAAACGGGAGUUCAUGCCGGACGAGAAGAAGGACAACAUGUACUGGGAAAAGAGACGCAAGAACAACGAGGCGGCCAAACGCUCGCGGGAGAAGAGGCGCCUCAAUGACUUCGCCAUGGAGAGCCAGUUGGCCGCGCUCAGCGAGGAGAAUGCCAUCCUCAGGACGGAGCUGCUGGCCCUCAAACUGCGCUUUGGGCUCAUCAGCCCCGACGCCAGCACCCAGCAGGGCCGCUCCCUGCAGGACUUCCUAGGGAUUUAUUUCCGAGGGCACAAAGCGCUCUCGCCGUUCCCAGAAGCAGAGCCCUUUGCUGGGGAUUCCUGCCUCUACACAAAGAGUUUUGUGCCGAAGGUGCUGGAGCCGGCUGACUUUUCGUGCAAAACCUUUAACCCAUCCAGAAACUUCCUUGGCUGUGACUCAAAGCCAGUGGCUAUGGACACACCUGGCCUUCACCAACCAAAGAGGCUCAAUUCAGCCUUCAGAUCCACAGUUUGCUCUCCUUUCCUCGAUUACCACUGCCCAGACAAACAUGCGCUCCAUUUGCCUUUCUCAGGAAGCUUCUCAUCCCCUUGUCCUGGUCUGGCAGAGGUGAGCAAGGAGAGCACCACAACCGUCUCAGAUGAAGAUGAUGAGCAGCAAGUGCCCAAAACUUCUCCUCCACCCCCAUGUAGCUUGCCCUCCCCUUCAGAAGAUCACCCGAAGGGCCGAAGCUCUUCAGCUCUGCCUCACAAACUCCGCAUUAAGACCAAAGCCCUUGGAGGACAGUGACCAUGGAGCCCUCUGUGGGAGCAGAGACAACCUCUCUAGGGGCAGACACAAUAUAUUUCAAUGACAUGAAGUGUUUGGAAGGAGGGGUGGGAGGGAAAUGUCUUUAAAGAAGGAAGUAACUUUUUCCCUUUGGCAUCAGUGCUGAGGGAAGUUAUAGGGCUGGGCUGCAUCACUACAGCACAACUUCAGUUGGCCAUCAUGUCAGUCUUGCUGUGAUGGACCAUCCAGACCCCAUGGCUGCUCGUAAGCCUGUUUCACGUGGUUGUUCUGCUUGCCAACCAAACUAAAACUUCAUAGUAUCACAGAAUGGGUUGGAGGGGACCUUAAAGAUCAUCUAGUUUCAAGACAAAGCCAUGGGCCCCCCAUCAGAUCAGGGUGCCCAGGAUCCCAUCCAACCUUGAAAUGUGAAGGGAUGAUGGGCAGGAAGAGGCAAAGACAGUGGAGGUGGUGUCCACACCGUGGAACACAAUAGUGGCCCCACACCACCGCUACAGCUGCUGGGUGUGACCACCAUUUUAAUUCCCUCUGCUUUGUCAUCACCUCCAUCUUCACAAACAGGGCUGAAAAUCUAAUUGUUCAACACUGGAAAUUGUGGAUGGAAAGAGUUUCAUACCCUCCAGCUGUCUGGAGCAAGAAAAAGGGAUGGCAAUAAGAAGGCAGCAGAUUCACACUGGCAUGAACUGAGAGCAGAACCUGGUCCAUUUUAUUCUCACUUUGUCGUAAUUUAUCCUCAGAGGGAAUGAACUCUUUUUCUCUUUGACUGGAGACACUGUGGUCCAGAAGAUACAUUCAUUUCCAUUUAUCUUCAUAGCAGCUAUUUUGGAGGACUAUUAUUAUUUUUUGUUUUACUGAAAUGUGAAACAUACCUUCUUCAUCCUACUUCGUUCCUUGUAACAGGCAUUUUCAGAAAUGAUGCUUCCCUACUUGAAAACUGCUUUUAUAAAACAUUCUCUUGACUGUAGCUGAAAUGCCCGAUCCAUUUUUCUUAUCUUGAAAUUAAUUACUUACAAAAUAAAACCGUUGCGU